GCGUCGGUAGUGCAACGGAUCAGCGCGUGCCCCCGGAUAGGGUGAGAUGUGGGUUCGAAUCCCAACCGAUGCA